UAACGCGUGGGUAACCUGCCUUACACAGGGGGAUAACAGUUAGAAAUGACUGCUAAUACCGCAUAAGACCCCGGUACCGCAUGGUACAGAGGUAAAAACUGAGGUGGUGUAAGAUGGACCCGCGUCUGAUUAGGUAGUUGGUGAGGUAACGGCUCACCAAGCCGACGAUCAGUAGCCGGCCUGAGAGGGUGGACGGCCACAUUGGGACUGAGACACGGCCCAGACUCCUACGGGAGGCAGCAGUGGGGAAUAUUGCACAAUGGGGGAAACCCUGAUGCAGCGACGCCGCGUGAGCGAUGAAGUAUUUCGGUAUGUAAAGCUCUAUCAGCAGGGAAGAAAAUGACGGUACCUGACUAAGAAGCCCCGGCUAACUACGUGCCAGCAGCCGCGGUAAUACGUAGGGGGCAAGCGUUAUCCGGAUUUACUGGGUGUAAAGGGAGCGUAGACGGCAUGGCAAGCCAGAUGUGAAAUACCGGGGCUCAACCCCGGGACUGCAUUUGGAACUGUUAAGCUGGAGUGUCGGAGAGGCAGGCGGAAUUCCUAGUGUAGCGGUGAAAUGCGUAGAUAUUAGGAGGAACACCNGUGGCGAAGGCGGNCUGCUGGACGAUAACUGACGUUGAGGCUCGAAAGCGUGGGGAGCAAACAGGAUUUAGAUACCCUGGUAGU
rnacentral:rRNA from 1 species